AAGGGAGACCUAAUUCAGGUAAAAGACGAAAAAAAAGUAGUCGCUACCAAGAAUCAAUCCCAAAAGGUCGGAGCGAGGCGAAAUUGGCUUUCAAACUAGGUUCUGGGUUCACACAAGACCUGAAUCAGGAACAAGGGCUAUUAGCUCAGGUGGUUAGAGCGCACCCCUGAUAAGGGUGAGGUCCCUGGUUCGAGUCCAGGAUGGCCCACCUGCACAGGUGGCAAAAACAAGAGAAGCUCCGAAUCAGCACCUUAUCUUACUGACAUAGUAAGAGAGAAUGCUGGCUCUGAGUAAAGAGUCCAGAGGAACCUUGAAAACUGCAUAGAGCUAGGUGAAAAAGCCAAAAAAGAAGACCGCAAGGUCAAGCUAAUAAGGGCUAACGGUGGAUACCUAGGCAC
rnacentral:tRNA from 1 species